rnacentral:rRNA from 1 species
UACGUAGGGCGCAAGCGUUAUCCGGAAUUAUUGGGCGUAAAGAGCUCGUAGGCGGUUUGUCGCGUCUGCCGUGAAAGCCCGGGGCUUAACCCCGGGUCUGCAUUCGAUACGGGCUAGCUAGAGUGUGGUAGGGGAGAUCGGAAUUCCUGGUGUAGCGGUGAAAUGCGCAGAUAUCAGGAGGAACACCGGUGGCGAAGGCGGGUCUCUGGGCCGAUACUGACGCUGAGGAGCGAAAGCGUGGGGAGCGAACAGG